rnacentral:rRNA from 1 species
CACGGGGGGAGCAAGCGUUGUUCGGAAUCACUGGGCGUAAAGGGCGUGUAGGCGGUCAGAUAAGUGGAAUGUGAAAUGCCCCGGCUCACCCGGGGACCGGCAUCCCAAACUGUCUGGCUUGAGUAUGGGAGAGGAUGAGGGAAUUCCGGGUGUAGUGGUGAAAUGCGUAGAGAUCCGGAGGAACACCAGUGGCGAAGGCGACACGCUGGGCCGUACCUGACGCUAAAGCGCGACAGCAUGGGGAGCAAACGGG